rnacentral:rRNA from 1 species
UGCUACGGCCUCGUGGCGCGUUGGUACACCCGAUCCCUCGAUCUCGGAAGUAAAGCAACACGCGGUCCGGACAGUUCUUGGAUGGGAGACCCCCAACCAAGGACGACUGGAUUGCUGUAGCCU